UGCCCCCGGCCCCCCACCCCACCCCCGCCCUAUCAUACCUGGGACCUACGCUUAAGCAAAUUAUGUAUUUAUGAGGGUACAUCAGAAAUACUGAUGACCUGAACUUCAAACUUCUGAAAAAUAAGCUUGUUUCUUGAAAUAAAUUAGGUUAUUUUAGUGUCAAUAUUUUGUUGUUGUUGUUGUUGUUGUAGUAUUUCAUUAUGUAAAGCUGACUUCGUAGCGAUAGGUUCGAAUCUAUAUUUUGCAUUUACAAUUUCGUUUAUUUUAAUUUAAGUUGUCGAAUAUACUGUAAUAUCAUUGAACUUAAAUAUUUUUUCGUAAAUUUACUUUGAGUAUCUCCUUCUUAAAAAGAAACGUUAAUUCGGAUAUACUGAGACCUGAAUAUCUGCAUGCGCGCCGAUGUUUACAAAAGGAAUGUCCAGUAUUUUUGGUGUCUUUCGGUGAAACUUUUACACAUUAGAACAACUGAAUAAAAUCUCCUUUCAAUUAACUAUCGAUAUAUCUGGUAUUUUACGUAAGACCGAGUCCCAAUAUUAUUGCAGUUCGGUAGCAAAGAUGUUGACACCACAUGUCGUCUGAUGAUGAGUUUUACAGGAUCGAAUAAGGUUUGGUCAUUGUAUUCCCUGAAAGGAACAAAAGGAGAAAAGAAACUGGAAGACCUGCAUGCCUAUCCGCAGGCCAAUGCUGGCUGCAGAUCAAUAUUGAAUGCUCUUAUGAAAACUCAUAAGACAGUAACAAAAAAAGGAAGCUGAGGAUGCUGUUUUUAAAACAUGUUCCAUUCAAUAAUGGUGGAUUGAAAUUUAAGAAAGGUGUGACGGGUGCGGCUACUGCAGGCAGGGAGGAUUUGACGGUCAGCCAGAGGAUUUGGAGAUAUACUGUAAUGUCUUUAAUGUGGACUUGCGUGUGAUUUAAGUUUUCACAAGGGUUUUAGUGUGUGUGAAAGUAUGUCAGUUUUCAAAAUUGAGCUAUGACAGUUUGCUCAAACUACAUAACUCAAAGAACUUUGAAGCGGUCUUGUUGGCGUCAUGAGCUUUUGUUUAAUACCAGUAUUGGUGAUAUAGGCCCAUGAUUAUAUACUGUAGAAAGUGAACAAGUUCACUGCUCGAUACAGAUAAUCAUAUGGCCUGAUCUCUGAAUGAUAUUUAUGAACUAAAAGAAGGCAUACAAUAAAAACAUACUGUAGUGAUUUAAAUUAUUGAUAUUGUUAAACUAGAUCUGGGCCUGUAUUCAUAAAGGAUCUUAGUAAAAAAAAUUAUCUAUAACUUAAUAUUCUUCAAUUAACUCAAAAACUUUUCACGCUCUUUAAAUAUUUCAC
rnacentral:lncRNA from 1 species